rfam:Oryza sativa (indica cultivar-group) chromosome 5, whole genome shotgun sequence.
CAGGAUGACGAAAACCUGAAACUGAUCCAGAUUGACCAGAAAAGGUCGGUGUCAACGCCUUUCCUGUUGAGACUGGAA